AGCGAACGCUGGCGGCAGGCUUAACACAUGCAAGUCGAACGGGCGUAGCAAUACGUCAGUGGCAGACGGGUGAGUAACGCGUGGGAACAUACCUCUUGGUUCGGAACAACACAGGGAAACUUGUGCUAAUACCGGAUAAGCCCUUACGGGGAAAGAUUUAUCGCCGAGAGAUUGGCCCGCGUCUGAUUAGCUAGUUGGUAGGGUAAUGGCCUACCAAGGCGACGAUCAGUAGCUGGUCUGAGAGGAUGAUCAGCCACAUUGGGACUGAGACACGGCCCAAACUCCUACGGGAGGCAGCAGUGGGGAAUAUUGGACAAUGGGCGCAAGCCUGAUCCAGCCAUGCCGCGUGAGUGAUGAAGGCCCUAGGGUUGUAAAGCUCUUUUGUACGGGAAGAUAAUGACGGUACCGUAAGAAUAAGCCCCGGCUAACUUCGUGCCAGCAGCCGCAGUAACAC
rnacentral:rRNA from 1 species